AGCCUACGGGGGGCAGCAGUAGGGAAUUUUCGUCAAUGGGCGCAAGCCUGAACGAGCAAUGCCGCGUGAACGAGGAAGGUCUUCGGAUCGUAAAGUUCUGUUGAAGGGGAAAAAGAGCGGAGAGAGGAAAUGGUCUCCGAUUGAUAUUACCCUUCGAGGAAGUCACGGCUAACUACGUGCCAGCAGCCGCGGUAGUACGUAGGUGGCGAGCGUUAUCCGGAAUGAUUGGGCGUAAAGGGUGCGUAGGCGGCCUGCUAAGUCUGGAGUGAAAGGAACCGGCGCAACCGGUACAGGCUCUGGAAAGU
rnacentral:rRNA from 1 species